GAAAGGCGGGCUAAUACCGGAUAAUAUCUAAAAAACCUCGGUUUUAUAGAUCAAAGGUGGCCUCUACAUGUAAGCUUCUGUUUGAGGAUGAGCCCGCGUACCAUUAGCUUGUUGGUAGGGUAAUGGCCUACCAAGGCUACGAUGGUUAGCUGGUCUGAGAGGAUGAUCAGCCACACUGGAACUGACACACGGUCCAGACUCCUACGGGAGGCAGCAGUGAGGAAUCUUGCGCAAUGGGGGAAACCCUGACGCAGCAACGCCGCGUGAGUGAUGAAGGCUUUCGGGUCGUAAAGCUCUGUCAAGUGGGAAGAACCCACAUGGUGUUAAUACCGCCAUGUGCUGACGGUACCACUGAAGGAAGCACCGGCUAACUCCGUGCCAGCAGCCGCGGUAAUACGGGGGGUGCAAGCGUUAUUCGGAAUUACUGGGCGUAAAGAGCGCGUAGGCGGUCUCUUAAGUCAGGUGUGAAAGCCCGGGGCUCAACCCCGGAAGUGCACUUGAAACUAAGGGACUUGAGUAUGGGAGAGGGAAGUGGAAUUCCUGGUGUAGCGGUGAAAUGCGUAGAUAUCAGGAGGAACAUCGGUGG
rnacentral:rRNA from 1 species